UACGGGAGGCAGCAGUGGGGAAUAUUGGACAAUGGGGGAAACCCUGAUCCAGCAAUGCCGCGUGUGUGAAGAAGGUCUUCGGAUUGUAAAGCACUUUCGACGGGGACGAUGAUGACGGUACCCGUAGAAGAAGCCCCGGCUAACUUCGUGCCAGCAGCCGCGGUAAUACGAAGGGGGCUAGCGUUGCUCGGAAUGACUGGGCGUAAAGGGCGCGUAGGCGGUUUGGACAGUCAGAUGUGAAAUUCCUGGGCUUAACCUGGGGGCUGCAUUUGAUACGUACAGACUAGAGUGUGAGAGAGGGUUGUGGAAUUCCCAGUGUAGAGGUGAAAUUCGUAGAUAUUGGGAAGAACACCGGUGGCGAAGGCGGCAACCUGGCUCAUAACUGACGCUGAGGCGCGAAAGCGUGGGGAGCAAACAGGAUUAGAUACCCUGGUAGUCCACGCUGUAAACGAUGUGUGCUGGAUGUUGGGUGGCUUAGCCCCUCAGUGUCGUAGUUAACGCGAUAAGCACACCGCCUGGGGAGUACGGCCGCAAGGUUGAAACUUAAAGGAAUUGACGG
rnacentral:rRNA from 1 species